rnacentral:lncRNA from 1 species
UCCUUCAUUGUGUGUUUGUACAGAGUUUAUGCCUGAUAAACUAAUUGAGUCACAGGUGGUAACAGUGAUUAUCAGUCACCGUCCUCUUUAUCUCCCCUAGUGGUACUAAUGUGUCUGCCAGUGUAAGAUGUUUCUCUUUUAGUUUCAGAGGCAGCAAAUAAAGGAUUGUGAGCUUCUAAAUAUGCAAAUAUGUAUAAAUGCAUAUGUAUGUGCAUCCAUACAUAAAAAAUACAUCUACUUUAAGUAUUUUAGGGUUUCUCUUAUAAAGCUUGAAAGAAUCAUUGAACCUGGCUGGCUUUUCUGGAGUCUUCCCAAGGUGGAACGGGUAUGGAAAGUCCCUGGGUUACCAGUCUAAAAAUGUAAAUAAGUUAACUUCAUAUUCCUGCGUGCACUCAUAUGCACAGUCUCACAUCAUAACCUAUGCACCUUGUUUUGUUUUUCAGCUGUGGUCUCCGUCGGGCAGGUGCUAUCCUGGCUCUGAUGUGGAGCCCUGGGCACACAUUCCUCCAGAGACACUGAGUUCCAAACCUUUUUUAGACUGACCCAGCUUGUAACUCUUCCAACUGUAAAUACAUGGUAGAUGGAUACCAGGCACCUGUUGCCUAAUUUCUUGCCAAGUUUUUCAAUUUAAAAUAGAAUUAGAUACUUGUUCAAGGAAUCUUUGUAACUUAUUAGCUGUCGAAUGUGUGGGAAAGCAGCAGCCAUGUACGGGAACGGCAGAAAGCUGCUUUCUGAGGUAUAAGGGAAAAGCAAUAAUUGCACACUCUCAGAAUAAAUAUGAAUCACCAUCUGGUCUUAAUUACUGUUGAGGAACGUACAUAUAUCAUGCAUGGAAAUUAUAUCCAUCAUAGGAAAUUACUCUCAGUUAAUUCAACUGAAUCCAAGGGGUUUACUCCAGAGUCACCUGUAACUCAGAAUGGAGCCCAGUCCACCAACUAACUGCUAUGGGCCCGAGUAAGAAAGAACAUGUAAUGAGAAGAUAAGUAGCAUGCACUUAGUCAUUGCCAAGCUUAUACCUCAGCAGGAAAAUAUGAGUGAAACAGGGACUGGCACACCGGGGACCUACCUCAAUAAUAGAAUGUUUAAAAAAAAAAAAGAGACUAUCGUGGGAUCAUCCAUAAAGGAGAAGGACCAAUGCAUGAAAGGCAGCGCUGAAGAUAUAAGGAAGGAUUGUGAUCAUCUCAGCCUGACACGCCAUUGAAUUUGAUGUAUCAUGAGCUGCUCUGGAACCUGCCACUGCCACGAGGAGUAAGCCUCAUUGAUUGGGAAGUAGUGCUAGAGGCUGGAAAUGAAGGAUAACAGAGGGCUAUUGCAGUGAAGAUCUCAUGUGGAUCAGCUACAUAGCAGGGGCUUGCAUCAAGGGAACCUUCCCAGAAAGGUAAAAUCACAACAAAACACCACGAUAAGAGCUGCUGAGUAGCAGGGCAGCCCUGACUUGU